GAGUGGGGGAGGGGUGGUGACAGCCUCAGCCUUGUGUGUUGAGGACCAAGGCGAGGUGAGCAUUCCACAUACCUUAGUUCAUUGUGUCCUUCCCAUAGCCUUGUAAAGUCGGCACAGAGUCACCCUCUCCUGAUAAGGCACAGAGAGGGUAGGCAGCUUGCUCAAAGACACACAGCUGCAGGCCUGCAGUAUUACCAACUGAAUGGCAUUUCCAAGGCAGUUGCUUCUUUGCUCAAGGUCAUGCUUAGCAUGUUAAGGGGAUCAUCCUGUUUCAUCCCCAAAAGUCCCUCUACUAUCCCUAUCUUCCGAGGCGGGUCCUGUUUUCUGGGGAUCUGGCUCAGAACUGGCAGGGGCCCGUUUCCCAGGCUGAGAGAGUGCGCCUCAUUUAGCCCAGAGCAGAGGCCCAGAGAUGCCCACACUUCUGAAGGUUGGGGGUCAGUUUCCAGUGUGGCUUAGAAGUUAGAGGGCAGGAGGGGCACCCCAGAGUGGAGGAACUGCCCUCUUCCUCCGGAGUCGUUCAUUUGCAUGACAAUGAGCCCUUUGUUCCUGAGGCCAGCCUCCUUCCCAGGCUAAUAACAUAAUUCCUGGCCUGUGAUGUCAUAAUGGGCCCUUUCUGUGGCUGGGGUCAGAGGCUGGGUGGGCAGCUGUGUGGGCUGGGCCAGGCCUGCUAAUAACCAGGGAGGUGGUGAUUGCCAGGGGCCUGUGUGCCAAGCUGCCUCCUUCCAGGGUCUCGCUGAGUCCUCCCGAGAGAGCAGCGGGAGAUGUGUUUUGAGAUGAGCUCAUCCUGGGUUACCCAGGUGGGCCCUGAAUCCAAAGACCAGUGUCCUUAGAAGAGACAGAAGAGGAGAGAGCAAGACUACAUGAACUACAGGAAGACAAAGGCAGAGAUUGGAGGGCUGAAGCCGCAAGCCAAGGAAUGCCUGGAGCCACCAGCAUCUGGAAGAGGCAGAAAGGAGCCUCCCUUUGAGCUUCUGGAGGGAGUAGGGUCCUGCUGACGCCUUGAUUUUGGACUUCCAGGCUCCAGAACUGUUAGAGAAUAAAUUGCUGUCGUUGGCCGGGCGAGGUGGCUCAUGCCUAUAGUCCCAGCACUUUGGGAGGCCGAGGUGGGCGCAUCACUUGAGCCCAGGAUUUCAAGAUCAGCCUGGGCAACAUGGCGAGACCCUGUCUCUACAAAAAGCACAAAAAUUAGCCGGAUGUGGUGGCGGCUUGCCUGUAGUCCCACGCUGAGGCAGGAGGAUCAAUUGAGCCCAGGAGGUCAAGGCUGCAGUAAGCCAUGAUUGUGCCACUGCACUCCACCCUGGACCACAGAGUGAGA
rnacentral:lncRNA from 1 species